UUGAACGCUGGCGGCAUGCCUUACACAUGCAAGUCGAACGGCAGCACGGGAGCAAUCCUGGUGGCGAGUGGCGAACGGGUGAGUAAUAUAUCGGAACGUGCCCAGUCGUGGGGGAUAAUGUAGCGAAAGCUACGCUAAUACCGCAUACGAUCUAUGGAUGAAAGCGGGGGAUCGCAAGACCUCGCGCGAUUGGAGCGGCCGAUAUCAGAUUAGGUAGUUGGUGAGGUAAAGGCUCACCAAGCCGACGAUCUGUAGCUGGUCUGAGAGGACGACCAGCCACACUGGGACUGAGACACGGCCCAGACUCCUACGGGAGGCAGCAGUGGGGAAUUUUGGACAAUGGGCGCAAGCCUGAUCCAGCAAUGCCGCGUGCAGGAUGAAGGCCUUCGGGUUGUAAACUGCUUUUGUACGGAACGAAACGGUGAGCUCUAAUACAGUUUGCUAAUGACGGUACCGUAAGAAUAAGCGCCGGCUAACUACGUG
rnacentral:rRNA from 1 species